rnacentral:rRNA from 1 species
UACGGGGGGGGCAAGCGUUGUUCGGAAUUACUGGGCGUAAAGGGCUCGUAGGCGGCCAACUAAGUCAGACGUGAAAUCCCUCGGCUUAACCGGGGAACUGCGUCUGAUACUGGAUGGCUUGAGUGUGGGAGAGGGAUGCGGAAUUCCAGGUGUAGCGGUGAAAUGCGUAGAUAUCUGGAGGAACACCGGUGGCGAAGGCGGUUCUCUGGGCCUGACCUGACGCUGAGGAGCGAAAGCGUGGGGAGCGAACAGG